UACGGGGGGGGCAAGCGUUGUUCGGAAUUACUGGGCGUAAAGGGCUCGUAGGCGGCCAACUAAGUCAGACGUGAAAUCCCUCGGCUUAACCGGGGAACUGCAUCUGAUACUGGAUGGCUUGAGUUCGGGAGAGGGAUGUGGAAUUCCCAGUGUAGUGGUGAAAUUCGUAGAUAUUCGCAAGAACACCAGUGGCGAAGGCGGCUCACUGGCCCGGUACUGACGCUGAGGUGCGAAAGCGUGGGGAGCAAACAGG
rnacentral:rRNA from 1 species